CUGUCUGGUAAUAGAUGCUCUGAUGCUCAACACUACUGUUUGCCAGACACAGACCAAGAUGGCUUCACUUGCAUUUGCAAUGUUUUCGAUGGGUUUUUCUUGCAAAACGAUAGUUCGUGUAGAAAACUUCCAUCUAAACAGAUUGUGGUGACAGCUGAUUUGGAUUUCAAUCAGGCCUACAAAAACCCGACAUCAACUGCUUUCCGGAGACUAGCUGCUGUAUUUGAACGGGCGAUUUUCAUGAGACUGAAGGAGAACCCAUCCACCAACGGUGUAUUAUCAGUUCAAGUCCCGUCGAUGGAGGAAGGGAGCGUUGUCGUAAGGUCUGUGGCU